AUAAAGAAAUGAUCAUAAAUGUUCUUCCUUGGGCUGCGAAACUCCGCUGUAGUCCGUAAUGGACUGGCCUGAGGUCUCGCUACAAACAAGCGGCUGCUGGAAGAGAGUAGGUGAGUUGUGUUUAGUCUCUUUGCUAAAGAAAUGAGUCAAAGUUAAAAAGAUGUUUGGUGUCUAGUACUAUGUCUGUGACCCUAUAUGUCCUGUUGAUGAAGUUAGGUGCUGUUCUGAGCAUUAUUUGUGGCUAUAGAGUGGCGUUUUGGUUGAGGUUUGUUUAUGGCUCCUCAGACCGCUCUGUAU